AAAUUUUAUCUGACGGAUUGAAUUAUUCGUGAGUAGUGAGCAUGGUUGGCAGCGAGUUUUGACUACCGCUUGCCAAGCGACUGAAAACAAGUUUUUAAAGUAGUUUUCUUUGGGACGGCGUCGUUGUUGGAUGUGUUUUUGAACGUAUAGCGGUCGUCUAGCGCAUGUACAUAGUUGUACGUUAGUGUAAUGUAGUGUAGCCAAGCAAAUGGUGAAUAGCGUAGCCAAAUAAAGUUACACAUUUUUUUCGUGCAGUGAAUGUGAAGAUAUUCUAAUAAAAGCAGUAAGCAAUAAUUAAAUGUUACCAAAUUUGAUAAGCCAAUGUUAAAACAACAAUAAAAGUUGGUACUUGGUAAAUAAAAAAUAUACUAACAACAUGUGAAAGAAGAAAACAAAUUUUAAAAUUGAAAAUAUAAUUUUUUCUAAAUAAAACAACAACUCGAACGCAUUUUUCGCCAACAAAACUGGACAUUAUAUAUAUUAAAAUCCAAUUACCACGCAUCUUACCCCCAAAGUGUUGGCAGUCUCUCUGAGCCAAGUUUUAUAAUAGGAAAGUCGGUAUUCGAAUCUGCAUCUGUGCGCUUAUCGUGUGUGUAUGUGUGUGCAUUUGGAUCAACGUCUUACCGCUCUUGUAAGCUUGUAAAGUUGUGUUGGUAUGCGUGUUACAACGACCAAAGUUUGAAUUUUAUUCUUACAAGACACACGACGUAGUCAAAACGUGUCGAAUGCCAGCAGUGAGUGUUUGCAUUGCCAUAGCAUUAGAAAAAAUCGAAUUAUGGAAAAUAAUAGCGGCAUGCAUACAUACAUAUAUCAAAAAAUUAAAAAUAAUAGUAAUAAUGUGCGAUAAUUUUUUUUUUGAAGAAUAAAAAAAAAUUGUAUAUAACAACUAAUGGGAAAAAAAUGUGCUAAAAAUAUAAAUAGCUAUAUAAGUAAGUAAAAAAAGUUGUUAAAUUUCCUAUUUACAAGUGAAAAACAGUGCGUGCAAAAGUUGGAGCAAUAAUUGCGUGAAAGGUGUUUAAGCCAAGUUGAAACGAAAAAUUGUGAAUUAAAAAUACUAAGUAAUUGUAUUUGAAAGCUGCAUGCAUUCAAUAUAGCAAUUUUUUCUGUGUUUGCAAAUGAAAAUACUUGAUAUAGCAGCAUUACUCACCGCGCGAUUCAAGCGAAACAACGUCAAUUGAAUAUGCAUCAGUAAAGCCAGACGCUAUUCGAUCAAUACCAGAUACCACAGGGCUAAGAAAUUAAAAAUUAAUAACAAAAAAAAAAAAACGAAGCGAAAAAAUUAUCAUCAACUAAAAUAUAUUUAAUAAAAGCGCAAGUCACAGCGGAAAUCAGUGUUUCCAUAGCAAUUUUUUUUUCAAUUUCAAAUCACCAUUAACGCAACUGAAUGAAAUAUCGAAAUUUUUACUCACAUUUUUGGAGUAAAACACAUUUUGAUACGCAACCAGAGCUUGUCGCGCCGUGAAUGCUGAAUAUCAAUCAUCCAUAACAUUUGCGUCUCCAGCACGCAGCGAAACAGGUACGGUGCUAUACUACUGAGUAUUGAGUAUACAUUUAUAGCCAUAUCUGAGACUAUUGAUAUCACGAUUUUUGUUCAGAAUGAGGGGAUAUAUCAAAAUUGGAUCGGAAUUGACUCGCGAAUAUUUAUGAUUGCCUCGAAACGUGCUUGUGUGUUGUAAGAGUUGCUUGUUUUUAAAUUUUUGAUUCUUCUGUCACACUCCAUGAGACGGUGAAUCAUUACACUUAAAAGCUUAUUUUGGAAAUUUCGCAUCGAAAACUUCGCCUCUACAUCAGUAGCAGCUUUAACUGUAAACAAUUUGACAGCACGACUAUGGAAAAGGCCGCAAUGUUCAUUUGAUAUUCAAUUGUGUGCUUUUUUCCAAACUGAUUAGUGGUUGGACGCCCCACCGCUUUUCAACGGCGCCACCAUGGAUGCGAAAAAGCUGCAACAGCUGCAGCAAGCAAACGCGCAAAAGAAAUUGCCACUCGCCUAUCAAACGAAUCUCGUCGACUAUCGCGCCGCCACACACUCGCCUGUCUUUCAGCAACAACAACAACAGGCUGCCAUGAGCGCCUACCAUAGCGUUGGCGGCAGCGGCUAUCAGCAAAGCCCCACCGCCACCUCCUCGAGCGGUGGCCCACUCACACCCAUCGACAUGCAACCGCAACCAAAUAAAAUGCUGCUCAAGCAUAUGGCCGGUACUGGUGGCAAUACCUCGAGCAGCUCACACAGCUCACCGUUUCACCAGUCAUCCUACAAUAGUGGCGGCGAGCAGCUGUAUCAGUCACCGACGGAACGUACCUAUUUGACAGCGGCUGGACGCCUUCAGGCCACCUCAGCACAUAAUCCUGCCACAGCGCUGCAACAACAAUACCAACAGCUGCAGCAAGCUAAGCUGCAGGCACAAAUGCAGACGCAGAGUGAGGCAGUGCAGCAGCAGCAACGCACAUUCGCCAUGCGACAGGCAAUGAAUCCGCCAGUGCCGCAAGGACAUUUCCAUAUGAGUCAGUCGUCGAGCAUCAUGUCGACGAUGACCUUGCAACAGCAGCAGCAGCAGCAACAACAGCAGCAACAACAAAAUGCAGCAGCGGCGGUGCAUGGACGUGCGCCACCCUCCACUUUGAAUCUGAAUAAUCAAUAUCAGCCAGCGGGAGGUGUUGGUCCGUUAAAGAUCAAUCAGAAGCAGACGCAGCAGCAACAUUAUCACACACAGGAUCAGCAGCAAAUUUACGCACAACACCAGCAGCAACAUCAACUACAAUUGCAAUUGCAGCAUCAGCAACAGUUGCAGCAGCAGCAGCAUGCACAUCAACAACAGCGACUGAAAUCGGAACAACCGACACCGGGAAGCGAGCAGAGCCCCGUUUACAUACAACAAAACCAUCCCGGACAUGUAGUCAAUCAGGCCUGUCAGACACAGAUAUCGGCGGUUAAAGGAAGCGCUGUGGUGCAAAAGACCACACCCAGCUCGGAGGAUUCGUCGAGCAAGAGCCCUUCGCAUGCCCAGUUAGACCGCAAGAAGAGUAUCGGUUCGAUGCAGGCACUCAAAUCACCCAUCACCAAGCGUCCACCCUCGUCGCCGGUAACGCUCUCUGGUUGGCUUUACAAGCAGGGCUCGGACGGUUUGAAAGUGUGGCGCAAACGUUGGUUCGUGCUGGCCGAAUAUUGCCUCUACUACUACAAGGGACCCGAGGAGGAGAAGCUACUCGGGUCCAUACUAUUGCCAUCGUACAAAGUGUCUGCCUGUCUACCGGAGGAUAAAAUCUACCGCAAAUACGCAUUCAAGUGUGAACAUCAAAAUAUGCGCACCUAUUGGUUGGCCGCCGAGACAGGCGAGUCAAUGAUGCAGUGGGUGCGUGCGCUCACAGCCGCCACAACAAUGCAGGCGCCCAAUAGCGGCGAGUCCGAUCAGCCAAGCGGUUCCUCUUCGCUAAAUCACAGCGGCGAGAACUCCGACUCUGGCAUACACACACUACAGUCGCAGCAGAGCAAGAUGAGCCUCAAUCAGGUAACUCCAGCCUCAGAGAACGCCAAUGCGAAUUCGGCGUCGAGCAGCAAUAGUGGCGGCGCCGGUGGUGGCGGUGCGCAGCCUUUGUACGCAAACGCGCCUCCCAAACCUCGACGGAUCAACGAUGGCGGCUAUUCUUCUCCCAGUCCCGAGCACUCGAUUGACAACGAACGCAAACCACAUCAUCAACAGCAACAACAACAACAGCAAGCUGGUCGUCAUAGCGGUCUUAUGUCACCGACAUUGCAACAAAUGCAGCAACAACAGCUCUACCAUCAACGUGGUGCCCAGCAACCGCAACAGCAUCAUGCCAUUUACGAUACACGCACCGGUAAUGUUUCGUCCGCACUGCGGCUACAACAAACACAGCAGCAAUACUCUGUGGACCAAUUGGAAGCACAAUUGCAGCAGCAAAUGGCUUUGUCGGCGGACGAUUAUCCCAAAUCGCCGCCACCGCCAGCCACACACUCCAAUUAUAUGGAACUCGAGGAGCAGAUGUUACGUCUGCAGCAACAACAACAACAGCGUGGCGGUGAAGAAAUUUACGGCGAACGCGAUCUGUACAUGCAGAAGCUGAUACAACAACGUUAUCCACCACAUUUGGCGCUCUACCCGAAUGCGGAACGUCGUACACCGGACGCAUAUGGCCGUUCGAAAAAUCGCAUUUUCUCGGAUUACGAAGAUAUUUACAAUCUAACCCAAGCGGGUAUACCAACAUCAGCGCAGGAGGCUCUGCUACAGGAGGCGGCCAGUUAUCGGCGCCCACUGAGCCCGCCCAGUUACGAUGGCAGCAAACAUGUGCCAGCUAUGCCGAUGCGUUAUACACCCAAUCACAUGGAGUCGGCACAACAACAACUAACCGCUAGCAACAGCAAUCUACGCUCACGUCCACCCGCGGCGAUUGUGCGCCCACAUUCGGCAGAUUUUUUGGAAUAUGAAGCGCGUGCCGAAUCAGCGGCAAUAGCUGGAGGCGCCCCCGGCACUAGCAACCAGUCGAGCGCCAUCAAACCAGAUGCAGUGCGCGCGCCACGCCCCAAAUCUUCGUUAGACAUCAAUCGCACACCGGACAGCUUCUACUACUCGGAGGCAAGCUAUGCGGAGAAGAUGCGCAAAAGCGCACUCUACUUGCAGCAUCCACAAGGCGCCACGAAUGCACAGCCACAGCAAGCGGUCGGCUAUCGUACCGCCAGCGAUUUCCUUAGCCCAGUGGGUAGCGGUAUGCAUACCAUCGGUUAUGAGAAUCCCUACGAACGCGCCUACAAGCGUGGCGAGCAACUGCACGAUGGACAAGGCGCCGCCAGCAUGCCGCGCAUGAGUCGCAGCAAUACGACGACCGCCAUGAACACAAGCAGCUUGGCGCAUUUGCGUUCACAAUCGUUGCAUCCGCAAUCGCAGACGCUGCUCUCGCCACAGUCACAGUCACAACAGAAACAGCAGCAACCACCGCCGCCGCAAAAGCCUGUCUAUACGCCAACCAUGUCGACGCAGCAGAUUAUUCAGCAGAGCGAACAAUUCCUACGCUCGGCAAGCGCACGCCUGCCCAAGCGCAGCGGCGGUUUCGAUGAUGACUACAACAGCGCGACUACCACUUCAUCGCCACAACAGCAACAACAACAACAGCAGCAGCCGCCGUCAUUGCAGUCAUCACAGUCACAGUCACAGUCACAAUCACAAUCAUCAUCACAAUCACAACAGCAACAUCAGCAGCAUCAGCAUCAGCCAUCAGCACAGGAUGGCGAGCGCAAGCGUGAAGAGUCCAUGAAACGUUUGCUGGAGUGGAAGCAGCGCAUGUUGCAGUCACCGUUGACGCGCAAGGGCAUGCAACAAGGUGGCAGCAAUAUGUCGGCCAUGUCGAAGCUUGGUAGCAAUCCGAACAUACUGCUCGCCUCGACGACGGUGGCGAGCGGCGCGCAUUAUGCCGCCACCAAUACGAGCGGUGGCAACAGCAGCGGCAAUGCGGUUGGUGGUAGUGUUGCGGCUGGCACUGUUGGCGGCGGUAGUGGCGGCAUCACAACGAUGGCGGUUGGUGGCAGUCUUGUCGGCGGCGUAGGCGGUAUACAACGCAGUCGUUCGGAUGCGCAUGCGAACCUCGGACCAGCCGGUUACAAUAGUUACUCGUCGGACGAUGAAGAUGGAGACAACACAAACGGCCGGCCGGCAGGAAGGUCCACCACCACCACAACCACAAACACCACUACCAUUACUACCACCUCUGUUAUCACUACUACUACUGCUACUACUACUCUUGCUACCAUUACUAGUUUAGCGACAAGUGUCGACACUGUCUCUAGUGCCAUUAGCCAGGCGUCAAUGGCAGCAGCAACAACAACAAACGCUGCUGCGGCAGUUGGCCAAGCAAUUGAGGGUGGUAAUAAAAGUAAUCUGGCAACAAAGUCAACAAUUGCCUUCGCCGAAACUUAUACAAGCACAACAACGCACACUCCAACAACAACAACACAAACAACAGUACCAACGCACACACCGUUGGGCGGCAAAAAGACAGGUAGUGACAAGACGGACGCACGCGAAAUAGCGACAGUGACAGCGCCGACCGAUUCCAAUAACAAAAGCCACAGUACAACAAUGUUAGCAACAACAAAAUCAUCAAUUACACUGAAGCCUAUACUGAAGAGCAGUGGGGAUAGAGAAAUGUCUAACGCGACUUAUGAAAGCCAAAGCGGAAUGCAAGCGCAACACGCGAAAUUGCUACUGAAUAUGGCGGCGCUUAAGGACAAUGCAGCGGUGCCACCGGUGCCACCGGAGGUGCCUAUUCUACCCAAGAAACCGGCGCCAAAAUCACCGCAAAUCACCACAUAUACACCCGUCUACACAACAAAGACGCUCACGCCAACGUCAUCGCCAUCGAAGACUUAUGAAAAUGUGCAAUUAAUUGAGAACAAUGAAGAGGGGAGGGAGCAUGCCGUUGGGACGACGGAUAAAUUAGAGUUGCAGUUAGAAGAGCCGCAAACUGCCGCUGAUGAUGGACAGGAAACCGCAGACACUACAGAUAAUUAUGAUGCCGGUAAUGCUAAGCAUGUAGGGGCGGGCGACAAUGCAGGACGAAUGCCCGAACUCAUGCAAGCGAAAGAGACAAUGUCAAUGCAGACAAUAAAUGAACAGGAGACGCCAAUGUUGGCGCAGUUACAAGUUUAUCAAAGAAUACAAGAGGCUAACUUGAAGGCGGGGAGGGAAAAAGAAAAAACGAAUGAUAUGCAUGUGCAAGCUAAAGAAAGCGUCGAGCGGUCAGCAGUGUUGCAGGCUGGAAGAGAGACGGCAGUGAUGGAAGAUAAUUUGAGCGGUGAGUUGAAAAAUGAGAUAAGCAAAAAUGCGGGUGAAACGGGAGUUGACACUGCAGAAAUAUCACGAGAAGACACCGAUGAAGACGAUGACACGGUCGGUGAGGAAUAUACCGACGAUGAUCUCGACGAAGCUUUGGCCGAAGAGGCGGACGCAGAAGAGGAAAUGGCAAUGCCAUCAGAUAACAAACCACACACGAAUAGUCAGCAAGACAGUAUGGCAAAGGAUACUAGCAUAACGAUAACAGCUGCACCAGAGCUGAGGCCAGUAGUUGCGGAUGAGCCGCGCACACCUCUUAUGGCUGCGCUGACUUUCGACGAGAAUCACUAUCUGCCAAUGACACCGAAGAAGAGCGACUUAGCGCAGAGCGGCAAUUUGACGUUAAUAAGUCUGCAUGACUCCACCACUGAGGAGGAGAACCCUUAUGUGGAAAUGAGCAAAAAUCUUCCGGAUGAGGAUUCUAGGUCAAAUUAUGAGGAUAUGUGCAUAAAUCCGCACGCCGGUCCAGCGCUAACCAGCGCUGCUGUCAAGGCCAAACACCUGCAAAUACAAGCUGAGCCUGUGUAUAUGGAGUUGAGUGCAGCCAGCAGCAUAAGCGAAAGUGGCAGCCAUACAGCAGUCGCCAAGAGCAGUGCUACAGCCGCAAGUAAUCCCCAACAACUGCCACCACCACUGCCGGCUGAUGAGUUGCACAGCUCAUCUGGUAGAUCCACAUUGAAGAAGAAUAAAAAAGGUACUGAUACUUUGAAGAAGAAAGCGAAAAAAUCCAGCGCUGAGCGUUCACAAUGCAAGCGAAAAGAUCUACCCGACAUACUUAAGCAGUCGCAGAGUACAAUGUCACACGUAUCCGAUAGUUCCGAUGCCGACGAUGAGUCUACAAAACAUACCGAUCUCAAGAAAAUGCGCUCACGCACACGUUUUAGCCUAUCGGACACUUUCCGUCCGGCUUCGUAUUAUUUAGGUGCCUCCACACCACUAGCAGAUUGUGCUGAAAGCUCUGAUAGUGAAAUAGUUUCACCGCCGCCUAUCCCAGCAUCACCGCCACCAAUGGAGGACUUGAAAACGGAGGAGAUAUUCUCUUCCGAACAUUACGAUACCGUGAAGCGACGCGACAGCAGCAGUGGCAGUGUAACGAAGAUCAAUCUAUCAUACGACCAAAUACCGAAGUUACACGCAAGUAACACUUCGUUGAAUAGACAGAAGGCCGAGACGACACUGAAGUGUAGUCGUUUAUCGUUGCCGGAUCAGUUUUCGAAGCAACGCAGUGUGGUACAUUUCAAGCAACCGCAUGCAGCUGCGCUGCUUAAGCACCACGAACGUACGCUCUCCGAUUCGAAUUAUAGUUUUCAAACCGACAACAGUUCCAACACUUCGUCAGACUUUGAUUUCUAUAAUAAACUAAAGCAAAACUCACCCUCAUAUGUGGCGUCACCCGGACGUUAUCCAUCGAGUAGUUCUUUGCCGCAGAAAUUCGUGCUUAACGCAACACCACCGACUGGCGACAGUAGUGAAACCGAUUCGGCGGUGGAGUUUCGACAUCGUCAAGGCUCGGACUCUGAAUUGGAGAGACAACGUUCCCGUCGUCCACUGUCCGAAGAAUCUAUUAGCGAGAUUGAAUCUUUACGGGAGAAAUUUGAGGAAACUCUGUCACAUGACUUAGAUACUUAUCUCAGCCAUUUGCAAUCAAACGAUUUGUAUCUUUACCAAAACACGCUCUUGGACACACCACUUACCGUCGGCUCCACGGAACUACUAACAAAACUCAUAAAACCACCGGAGACAUUCCGCAACAAGGACGACGAACAUUUCUACGGCAACAUACGCUUCGUGUCGUCCACAGAUUCACUACAGCGAUUGGGCGGAGAUACACGCGAUGGUGGUGUUGCCGGUGCGGGUUGCCUCACACCCACCUCCGGCGAGCUCGAUCACUCAAAGUACUACACACCCAUACACAGUCGCAAUAAUAGCAAUAUAUCUGACAAAUCUGCGCCUUAUUACUACUCUGAACUCAGCAGCAGUCGCGAGUUAAUUGCUACACCUGCAGCGCCCUUAAACAACCAGCGCGAUGUGCACGCGCAUGGCUCGAAUAUAGCGCACAUACACAACCCUAUUGAUGGCCACGGACGUGUGAUUUCAAAUAUCAAUGUGGAUCUGUUGGCAGACAAAGAUCAGGCGAUCGAUAGUAAAAAUUUAUAUAAGAUGAAAACGAAUGUGGAAAAGUUGAGCUACCGCUCGGGCAAAAUCCUCAAUGCUAACGAAACUGCUGCAGCGCUAGCUGCCGCUGCCACAGCUACUUCUUCGAUGGCGUCAGCUAGUGAUUACCAGCUACGUCACGCGCACACCACCAAAAUGAGCAAUUUUCAACAGACUAGCCUACAUCAUACACGUACCGAACUAACGGGCACCAACGCAUACCCCACUGCCAUCACGCACACCCCCUCCGCGUCAUCACAAACUCAUUCACCCUAUCAGACAUAUACCAUCGGCAUUAGCGCUAAGGCUGGCGCCGGCAGUGGUGGUAGUUCCGCGAAAAUCACUAAUAUGCAACAGCAACAACUGGGUCACAGUAACAUCAUCGGUAUGGGAGCAAUGGGUCAUUUAAAUCAUGUUGUUGUCGGUGAAGGUAGUGAUGUAGCAGCGUCUCCACUCGGAGGCCGAACGUCCACUAACACUAAUACUAAAACGGCACACGCCGUCGCUGGCACGAACACAAAUAAUGCACAGAAAUUCUCCGUUCUAGGCGCACCCAUUACCGGUGAGCUGCUGUGGGAAGAAGACACGCUGUGGCGCGAAAGCUUGCGCCGCGUCUCGCAACGUCAUGCGCGUUCACUAGACGAUCUCGAUCGCAUAGCGCCCAGUCCGACGGCGCUCAUGAGACGGGAACUACAUGGUGGCGAACGCGCCGCAUACAAAACGAAAAUCACACGAGACGUUACCUACGUCAACGACAAUGUAUCACAGCAAGUGCGCGCCGCAUACAAGCCGCGCUUUAGUGAACCGCUUACACAACACCACGUGCGGCAUACGCGCGCACCCGACGAGGAUCGCCUCAACGAGAAUGAUGUGUACGUGCAACUGCAGGAACAUAUGACAGACGAUGGGCACAACUCGGAUGUGUAUGAGGUGUUACGCACAGACAGCGGCUCAAACUUGUCGCGCAAAUCGGUGGAGAUCGAUCGCGAGACGAUACGCCAAUGGGACUCCAUGUCCAGCGGCCUAAUGAAGCAUUCGGGAAGCAAUAGCAACUCGGAAAAUGAUAACCCCUGCGGCAGUGAGAGUCUCACAAGUGUGGGGAGUACAGUGCGCGCUAUAAUGGAACAACUGAAUGUCAGCUGUGAUGACAAUGACAAUGUUGCGCAUACGCCCUGUACAACCGAUGUGGAAUAAGGCGCCGAUAAAUGUACAAAUCUACGAAAUAAUAUAGUAUAGAAUAAAUGCAACUAGGUGUAAGCUAAAUAAAAUAAAAUAAAUAUUAACAAUAAGCCAAAAUAGCUGUGUUGGUUCGGCGCAACAGUUGCCGCGCGCUGACUGGUCGCAGGAGACCACAUAUAAAUGAUGAAACUUUUUAUAAAAAUGCCGUUAAUUGUUGUUGUUAGUGACAGUUGUCUAUUCAAAUGCCACACAAUGUGCAUGCAACCAAAAGAAAGGUAGAAAAUACAACAGCAAAAACAGUUAUAAAUAAAUAUACAAAUACAAAGCCGACCAUUGUAUCAGCUUUGUUGGGAAAACCUUAGCGACACCGAUUUCCAUCGAUUUUAAACACCGCGCGCAACAUUAAACUCUGUUGAUUUCCCAGCGCGCCGCAUACAAAUUAGAAAAUAAACAAACAUACAAAAGCGCGCGCAAACCCACAUACAAACAAUAUGUGUAAGCGCAAUCGAGGCAUACACAAAGGCGUCGCGUAAUAUACAUGUGCUUUAAUGCAUGCCUUUAUGUAGUCAAUGUAUACGUAUGUGUAUAUAUGAGUAUAAAUUGAUUGAAUUUGCACGAAAGUUUGCACACACGCACACACCCAUGCACACGCGCAACGAAAUGCCAACCAUACAACAAUAAAUAUGUAAAUACAAAGUUUAUAAAUAUAUACCUAUGUAAAUAUACAGCGACUAGACAGUUAGACAGAACUGCGCAACUAUUCAGACAUACACACAUGCAAGCAAAUAACGCGAGACAGCAACACGCACACACACUCAUAGCGACGCGCAUAUUUGUUGUCUAUCAAUUGGCGUUGAUUGUUAUGGCUUUGUUGACUGUUGUUGUUGUUAUAAACAAUUUGACUCUCUAAUGGUAAUCAAAUAUUGUUAAACAUAUAAAACUAGUUAAAAAAAUGCAAUGCAAAUAAAAUGCGUCAAUUUCGGUGCGGAAUGUACGCAAUUUACCCAAAGGCAAUCUUACCGUUAAACCAGAUCCCUCGGAUGCACACAAUCCUCUACAGCAGCAGCAGCAACAGCAACUACAACAACAACACUUAGCGCAGGGCACUUACGAUCAAACGCUGGGUAAGCUAACGCACUCCUACUACGGCACGGCGCACGACACGCAGUACGCGAAGACAACAACACUCACGGAUCAUCGCAGCGGCAUUGUUGGCCUUGGUGGUAGUGCUGGUGGUGCUGGUGGCGUUUAUGGCAGCAAUGGGCUCAUAGCAGGUGGCAAUAGCAUCUUGGCCUCGUCGACGCCACUGCAUCCCUGCGCAAAUGGUGGCGACUAUUAUGGCGGCGUAGGAGGCGCCGCGGGCCCCACAUUGUGGCAAGAGCAGCAUACACAACAACAAGCGGUGUAUCCC